rnacentral:rRNA from 1 species
CCUACGGGAGGCAGCAGUGGGGAAUAUUGGGCAAUGGGCGCAAGCCUGACCCAGCAACGCCGCGUGAAGGAAGAAGGCCCUCGGGUUGUAAACUUCUUUUAACAGGGACGAAGAAAGUGACGGUACCUGUUGAAUAAGCCACGGCUAACUACGUGCCAGCAGCCGCGGUAAUACGUAGGGGGCAAGCGUUAUCCGGAUUUACUGGGUGUAAAGGGCGUGUAGGCGGGAGAGCAAGUCAGACGUGAAAUUCCAGGGCUCAACCCUGGAACUGCGUUUGAAACUGUUCUUCUUGAGUGAUGGAGAGGCAGGCGGAAUUCCGUGUGUAGCGGUGAAAUGCGUAGAUAUCACGAAGAACUCCGAUUGCGAAGGCAGCAUACCGGCGCUCAACUGACGCUGAGGCACGAAAGCGUGGGGAUCGAACAGGAUUAGAUACCCCUGUAGUC